rnacentral:tRNA from 1 species
UGAUGUAGCUCAGAUGGUUAGAGCAUCACUCUGAUAAGGUGAGGGUCAGUGGUUCGAUUCCACUCAUC